CCCACACUGGGCAGAGAGCAGACCUGCUGCAGAGCUUUGCUAUUUUUACUUUUCUGUGAGGGGAUCUCAGGUUACAAAUUAUAUACCGAUGAGGUUUGGCUGGCUUUGACUUAAGUGGAUACAGUUGGAAUCCAGAUGCUACCCUCUACUUGGUACCAAACAACAUAGCCACACGAACUAUUUCUGCAGUGUAAACUGUGAGCCAAGUCCUUCAGCUGCGACCUGAGAAAAUUGUGAGGAAUUCUCCAUUGACAGGACCAAUUCUGAAGAGAAAUCCAUGAUCCAGAGACCAUGUAGGACUGGGCUGGAAUGAGACUCCAACUCUGACCACAUCCGGAACUGCAUUGUAUUUCAGGAACAUGGGAAUGAAGAUCAUAGCCAUCUUUGCACUCAAGGAACUGACAGUCUCUAGAGGAGAAAGAUCAGCAUCAGACACUCGGAAUACACAGUGAUCCUGGUGCUUCAGAGUCAACACAGUGCUUAGACAGAAAAGGAGAGGCACAAAACCCAGACCUGGAGAAAGGUCCAAAAAAGGUCCCUCCAGAAAUGACAUCUAAUUUAAUACCAAAAGGAUGGGCAGAAUUUAACCUGCUGAGGUAGGGUGCGAGGAAAAAUUUCUAGAAGUGCAUGGGACUUUGAAACAAGGACAUAGAUCAGUAGGACUGAUAUGUAAGGAACACAGAGAUGAAAAAGAAAGGAGUACCAGGGCCCAGACCAGCGACCACCGUGUGACCGCGCCAAGGAGUACGGAUUUCCUGUCAAGGACUAGGAGAGCACUGAUUAAAUGUUAAAAUUAUACGGUCAGGUUGUUAUUUCUGAAACAUUGCUUUAGCUGGAGUAGUGCGAAUAAUCUGGAACAGAGUAGGUGGGAAGCAGAUAGAUGCACAGAUAAGCUUCGCUGUGCUCCUGAUAAAUGGAGGUGGGAAUGGUUAGCCAGGGAGUGAAGAGCCACAGAAACAUGUGCUUGCUUCACUGGUGUCCAGACGGAGAAGGGGCACGUAUAACACUGGAGAACUUAGCUCAAGCAAUUAGGGUGGGAAGCGAUGCCAUUUUCAAGAUAGGGGACAUGAAAUGAACAAGUUUGGGGAAAAGAUGAUUAUCCAGUUUUGGGUGUGUUGAGUCUGAGAGUCCUG
rnacentral:lncRNA from 1 species